CAACAGGGAUUGCCUCAGUAACGGCGAGUGAAGCGGCAAAAGCUCAAAUUUGAAAUCUGGCACCUUCGGUGUCCGAGUUGUAAUUUGAAGAAGGUAACUUUGGAGUUGGCUCUUGUCUAUGUUCCUUGGAACAGGACGUCACAGAGGGUGAGAAUCCCGUGCGAUGAGAUGUCCAAUUCUAUGUAAAGUGCUUUCGAAGAGUCGAGUUGUUUGGGAAUGCAGCUCUAAGUGGGUGGUAAAUUCCAUCUAAAGCUAAAUAUUGGCGAGAGACCGAUAGCGAACAAGUACAGUGAUGGAAAGAUGAAAAGAACUUUGAAAAGAGAGUGAAAAAGUACGUGAAAUUGUUGAAAGGGAAGGGCUUGAGAUCAGACUUGGUAUUUUGCAAGCCUUACCCUCGUGGUGGGGUCCCCUGCAGUUUACUGGGCCAGCAUCGGUUUGGAUGGUGGGAUAAUGACAUUGGAAUGUGGCUCUGCUUCGGUAGAGUGUUAUAGACUUUGUUGAUACCACCUGUCUAGACCGAGGACUGCGUCUUUGACUAGGAUGUGGCAUAAUGAUCUU
rnacentral:rRNA from 1 species